AGUGAACGCUGGCGGUAGGCCUAACACAUGCAAGUCGAACGGCAGCACAGUAAGAGCUUGCUCUUACGGGUGGCGAGUGGCGGACGGGUGAGGAAUACAUCGGAAUCUACUUUUUUGUGGGGGAUAACGUAGGGAAACUUACGCUAAUACAGCAUACGACCUACGGGUGAAAGCAGGGGAUCUUCGGACCCGGCGGGGUUGGAUGGGCCGGUGGCGGAUUAGCUUGUUGGUGGGGUAGUGGCCCACCAAGGCGACGAUGGGUAGCCGGUCUGAGAGGGUGGCCGGCCACAUUGGGACUGAGAUACGGCCCAGACUCCUACGGGAGGCAGCAGUGGGGAAUAUUGCACAAUGGGCGGAAGCCUGAUGCAGCAACGCCGCGUGCGGGAUGACGGCCUUCGGGUUGUAAACCGCUUUCGCCUGUGACGAAGCGUGAGUGACGGUAAUGGGUAAAGAAGCACCGGCUAACUACGUG
rnacentral:rRNA from 1 species